CAAUCACACACCACAACGCAACGCACUCGUACUCCUUCCUCACACGUUAACAGUUUAACCUCUCAGCAAAACGAGCUUCCCAGUGACCUGGAGAAGCCAAAAAAAGGAACCAAGUUUAAACUGAUGAGGACCAGGAUCCAAAGGCCAUCACUGUCCACGGGAACCCUUCAGCUGAGCAGCUGGAGCAGCAAGAUGUUGUACGUCUCCUCGUGUUUCUGAGCUGCAGCUAUUGCAAGAGCACAUAAAGUUUAAUAAGCAUCACUCAGUUGGCAGGGCAGAUGCAUCUCCUUCUUCAGAACCUCAUUACUUUGUACUCAGAACGCUGACACGUGAAGCUGCUGCCAAAAGCCAACAGUGAGAACACCAAGAGAACAGCGAGCGACUCCUCUGAGCCUCCUCCUCCCAUCGGAUGUGGAACACAUAGAGACUUACACAAGGCCUUUCAACGGUAUGUGUGCUGUACACGUAACAAAGGCUUGUGAAAACUCCUGGAGGAUGCUCCACUGUGCUAUAGCAGGAAAUACCCGAGAAGGCAGCGGGGAGGCAGCGUUCCCAGCCCGGAUGCUCGGCUGGAAGCCGCAGGAUCAGGUCUGGCAUCUCCAUUCUCAGUUCUGGCACUCCAGUGGAUGCACACAUUUACAACUGGCCCAUUCCAAUCAGCUCGUGGUGCUGAGCAGCUGCCUUUCAGGCAGGGAGUGAGGCUGUUUCAAAACGUGGCCACGUUAUCCGCACGCUUCUAACGCUGCUGGAGACGUGCAUCGGUUUGGGCUGUGCCAGAAAGGAGGGGAACUGCUUUCCUCAUGGUUAACAUCAAGACUCAAGGGUGGUGGGAAACACCACCAGUGAGCUUUGCUAACUGGUCCAGAAAGUAGAAGAAACCGUAGU